rnacentral:rRNA from 1 species
GCUCCCCGGAAGGCCUGACGGCGUGCCUUUUGGAGAAUGAGCCGGCGAGUUACUCUCUGUGGCGAGGUUAAGGGAGUCACACCCGGAGCCGUAGCGAAAGCGAGUCCGAAUAGGGCGCAAGCCCAGCCCUUUAGGGGGCUGGGGAGUCGCAGGGAGUAGACCCGAAACCGGGUGAGCUACCCAUGGCCAGGGUGAAGCGAGGGUAAAACCUCGUGGAGGCCCGAACCCACUAGAGUUGCAAAUCUAGGGGAUGAGCUGUGGGUAGGGGUGAUAUGCCAAACGAACCCGGAGAUAGCUGGUUCUCCCCGAAAUAGCUUUAGGGCUAGCCUCAGGGGUUCAAUGGCGGAGGUAGAGCACUGGAUGGGCUAGGGGGCGUAUAGCUUACCAAACCCAACCAAACUCCGAAUGCCGCCAUUUAACACCCUGGGAGUCGGACAGUGGAAGAUAACUCCCAUUGUCGAGAGGGGAACAACCCAGACCGCUGGCUAAGGUCCCCAAGUCCAGGCUAAGUGGGGAAGGAUGUGGGACUACUGAGACAGCCAGGAGGUUGGCUUAGAAGCAGCCAUCCUUUAAAGAGUGCGUAAUAGCUCACUGGUCUAGUGGUCCUGCGCCGAAAAUGUAACGGGGCUCAAGCCUGGCGCCGAAGCCGCGGGAUGUGGCCCUUAAGGGGCCGCAUCGGUAGGGGAGCGUUCCGCCGGCGUGGAAGCCGUACCGAAAGGAGCGGUGGAGCAGGCGGAAGUGAGAAUGCCGGCAUGAGUAGCGCAAGACGUGUGAGAAACACGUCCGCCGUAAGCCUAAGGUUUCCGACGGAAGGUUAAUCCGCGUCGGGUUAGGCGGGAGCUAAGGCGAGGCCGAAAGGCGUAGCCGAUGCACAGCCGGUCAAUAUUCCGGCCCCACCUGGGAGGAGCGAUGGGGUGACGCAGGAGGGUAGGCCAGCCGGCGAUUGGAAGUGCCGGUGCCAAGCCUGUAGGGCGAUGACGGAGGUAGGCAAAUCCGCCUCCCGAGCCUGAGGGGUGAUGGCGGUGCCUUCGGGCCACAAGUGGCUGAGCCCACACUGCCGAGAAAAGCCUCUAAGCGAUGAAUCCCAGGUGCCCGUACCGCAAACCGACACUGGUAGGCGGGGAGAGAAUCCCAAGGCGAUCGGGAGAACCCUCGUUAAGGAACUCGGCAAAAUGGCUCCGUAACUUCGGGAGAAGGAGCGCCCCAUUAGGGUGAAGGAGCUAGCCUCUGGAGCCCGAAGGGGUCGCAGAGAAACGGCCCUGGCGACUGGUUAACAAAACCACAGGUCUCUGCUAACUCGCAAGAGGAAGUAUAGGGGCUGACGCCUGCCCAGUGCCGGAAGGUUAAGGGGACGGGUUAGCCAGGGGCAACCCUGGCGAAGCUCUGAACCGAAGCCCCGGUGAACGGCGGCCGUAACUCUAACGGUCCUAAGGUAGCGAAAUACCUUGUCGGGUAAGUUCCGACCCGCACGAAUGGCGUAACGACUGGGGCGCUGUCUCAACGAGGGACCCGGUGAAAUUGAACUGGCCGUGAAGAUGCGGCCUACCCGCAGCAGGACAAAAAGACCCCGUGGAGCUUUACUGCAGCUUGGCAUUGAGUUAGGGCUUAGCCUGUGUAGGA